rnacentral:ncRNA from 2 species
UGCUUAUCCAGAGAGGUGGAGGGACUGGCCCUAUGAAGCCCGGCAACCGGUUUAUACACGGUGCUAAUUCCAGCAGGGCAUGUGCUCUGCAGAGAUAAGGA